UUAGAAGAAGAAAGAGAGAGAGAAGGGAGAGAGACACCAGCCUGCUUGUUUUCUCUAUCGAUGGAUGAGAAACAAUAACUGUGUUUGCUACUGAAAUCCAUGUAUGGAAGUUGGAAGUAAUCCGGUGGAGUUCACUUUGUUGCUGACCUGUAGAAGGAAACAGGUAUUUGUGUGUGGACGACCACGGUUCGGAUGCUUUUCGGGGUGAGGAAGUCACUACCGAGUAAACACUGGAGUGUCGUUUGGGUUCCAUCGUGGAACAUUUGGAUUUCGUAUGUACUCUCUCUAUGUUUUUCUACAUCUACAUCUUAUCUUCAGACAACGGUGGUUGUUGAAGAAGCCCUUGCUCAUGUUUCACCUUAUGGCUUGCGGAACUGAACUUUAAGAACCAUUCCGGAACUGGGAGUUUUGGACUUUGUCACACACACACAUGAAGAGUUUAGUUUUGGGGUUAACGUUCGAGCUCUAACACCAGAAGGCAGAUAGUUCCAUCCAGCUCGGAAUGUCCGGCGGGAAGAAGUGGGAGGUUCUGAGAUCCGAGAAGGAGGGCAUCCAUCUCCUGGAACUCAACAGCAAGUGUGACAUUGCUGAUACCAAUGCCACAGCAGCCAGAAGUUCAAGGGUGAGGAGGAAGCCCUGGAAACUUCCUGAAUCUGGCAACUGUGGAAUUAAUUCACCCCCCUGACAUAACCUCACAGGUAGACGGCACCAGAUACAGAGCAGUAGUAACACCUAAACACACUGCAUGUACACAAACGCAUGCAUAUGCACACACCCACACACAGAAACAUGCACAUGCACUACACCAAUGCACCCAAUGCCACACUACAGAUACACAAUCACACCCACACACACCCACAAAUGCAUGGCUCUCUGCACAGAAUCCCCACAGACAUCCUCACACCUGCUCAUUCUCUCUCACAAAAAGCUCGGGCUUAUUUUCACGUGCACAUGCACAGCCACACACGUUCACUUACAGAUGCUAGUACACAGUGACACACUUUACACCUGUACACAACAUAC